rnacentral:rRNA from 1 species
AUUGAACGCUGGCGGCACGCCUAACACAUGCAAGUCGAGCGGCAGCAUGCUUAGUAGCAGUACUAAGUGAUGGCGAGCGGCGGACGGGUGAGGAACACGUAGGAACCUGCCCAAGAGAGGGGGACAACCAAUGGAAACGUUGGCUAAUACCGCAUAAUCUCUUAGGAGAAAAGUUGCCCGUAAGGGUAGCGCUUUUGGAGGGGCCUGCGUCCGAUUAGCUAGUUGGUGAGGUAAUGGCUCACCAAGGCUGUGAUCGGUAACUGGUCUGAGAGGACGACCAGUCACACUGGGACUGAGACACGGCCCAGACUCCUACGGGAGGCAGCAGUGGGGAAUCUUGGACAAUGGGGGCAACCCUGAUCCAGCGAUGCCGCGUGGGUGAAGAAGGCCUUCGGGUUGUAAAGCCCUUUAGGCUGGGACGAAGGGUAUGGGACGAAUAAUCCUGUACUUUGACGGUACCAGCAGAAUAAGCACCGGCAAACUCUGUGCCAGCAGCCGCAGUAA